rnacentral:rRNA from 1 species
CGAAUCUUCCGCAAUGCGCGAAAGCGUGACGGAGCAAUGCCGCGUGCGGGAUGAAGCGGCUCCGCCGUGUAAACCGCUGUCAGGGGUCAGAAACACUGCUCAGCCCCAACGGAAGGGCCGGCUAACCUCGUGCCAGCAGCCGCGGUAAUACGAGGGGCCCGAGCGUUAAUCGGAAUCACUGGGCUUAAAGGGUGCGUAGGCGGAUGCGCAAGCGUCUUGUGAAAUACCUCAGCUCAACUGAGGAAUUGCAGGGCGAACUGCGUGUCUUGAGACAGGUAUGGGCCGUCGGAACGUUCGGUGGAGCGGUGAAAUGCAUAGAUAUCGAACGGAACGCCGAAGGAGAAGUCGGGCGGCUGGGCCUGUUCUGACGCUGAGGCACGAAAGCGUGGGGAGCGAAC